rnacentral:rRNA from 1 species
UCCGCAUGGUAGAACUAUUAAAGAAUUUCGGUCAUCGAUGGGGAUGCGUUCCAUUAGGUUGUUGGCGGGGUAACGGCCCACCAAGCCUUCGAUGGAUAGGGGUUCUGAGAGGAAGGUCCCCCACAUUGGAACUGAGACACGGUCCAAACUCCUACGGGAGGCAGCAGUGAGGAAUAUUGGUCAAUGGACGAGAGUCUGAACCAGCCAAGUAGCGUGAAGGAUGACUGCCCUAUGGGUUGUAAACUUCUUUUAUACGGGAAUAAAGUGAGGCACGUGUGCCUUUUUGUAUGUACCGUAUGAAUAAGGAUCGGCUAACUCCGUGCCAGCAGCCGCGGUAAUACGGAGGAUCCGAGCGUUAUCCGGAUUUAUUGGGUUUAAAGGGAGCGUAGGCGGACGCUUAAGUCAGUUGUGAAAGUUUGCGGCUCAACCGUAAAAUUGCAGUUGAUACUGGGUGUCUUGAGUACAGUAGAGGCAGGCGGAAUUCGUGGUGUAGCGGUGAAAUGCUUAGAUAUCACGAAGAACUCCGAUUGCGAAGGCAGCUUGCUGGACUGUAACUGACGCUGAUGCUCGAAAGUGUGGGUAUCAAACAGGAUUAGAUACCCUGGUAGUCCACA